AAGGAAUAUUGGACAAUGGGCGCAAGCCUGAUCCAGCCAUGCCGCGUGAAGGAUGAAGGCCCUAUGGGUUGUAAACUUCUUUUAGCAGGGAAAAAACCCCUCGAUGCGUCGGGGGCUGAUGGUACCUGCAGAAUAAGGAUCGGCUAACUCCGUGCCAGCAGCCGCGGUAAUACGGAGGAUCCAAGCGUUAUCCGGAUUUAUUGGGUUUAAAGGGUGCGUAGGCGGAUAAAUAAGUCAGUGGUGAAAGCCUGCAGCUUAACUGUAGAAUUGCCAUUGAUACUGUUUAUCUUGAAUAUAGUUGAGGUGGGCGGAAUAUGACAUGUAGUGGUGAAAUACUUAGAUAUGUCAUAGAACACCGAUUGCGAAGGCAGCUCACUAAGCUAUGAUUGACGCUGAGGCACGAAAGCGUGGGGAGCAAAC
rnacentral:rRNA from 1 species